UACGUAGGGCGCAAGCGUUGUCCGGAAUUAUUGGGCGUAAAGAGCUCGUAGGCGGUUUGUCGCGUCUGUCGUGAAAGCCCACAGCUUAACUGUGGGUCUGCGGUGGAUACGGGCAGACUAGAGGUAGGUAGGGGAGAAUGGAAUUCCCGGUGUAGCGGUGAAAUGCGUAGAUAUCCUGAGGAACACCGGUGGCGAAAGCGGCGCGCUGGAUCCCUUCUGACGCUGAGGCGCGAAAGCCAGGGGAGCAAAGCGGG
rnacentral:rRNA from 1 species